rnacentral:snoRNA from 1 species
GAUUCUGGGAUGAGAAAUAGCCAAAUCUGAACACCAGAAGAUAAAACAAUCUUCCAGGUAUAUGCAGUAUUCAGUUCUGAAA